UACGUAGGGGGCAAGCGUUGUCCGGAAUCAUUGGGCGUAAAGGGCUCGUAGGCGGUUUGUCGCGUCGGGAGUGAAAUCCACUGGCUCAACUGGUGGCUUGCUUUCGAUACGGGCAGACUGGAGGUAUGCAGGGGAGAACGGAAUUCCUGGUGUAGCGGUGAAAUGCGCAGAUAUCAGGAGGAACACCGGUGGCGAAGGCGGUUCUCUGGGCAUGUCCUGACGCUGAGGAGCGAAAGUGUGGGGAGCGAACAGG
rnacentral:rRNA from 1 species